UCCAAGUGAAGCAGAGGACAGUGGCGGACGGGUGAGUAACGCGUGGGUAACCUGCCUCAUACAGGGGGAUAACAGUUAGAAAUGACUGCUAAUACCGCAUAAGCGCACGGUGCUGCAUGGCACAGUGUGAAAAACUCCGGUGGUAUGAGAUGGACCCGCGUCUGAUUAGCUAGUUGGUGAGGUAACGGCCCACCAAGGCGACGAUCAGUAGCCGGCCUGAGAGGGUGAACGGCCACAUUGGGACUGAGAUACGGCCCAGACUCC
rnacentral:rRNA from 1 species